AAAAUAAUAAUUAUGACAAUAAUUCAUUAAGUUUUUUUUAAUAAUUUAUUACACUCUAAUCCAUUCCGAUUCCGAUUUCAAAAAAAAAAAUAAACACAUCAAUAAAAGUCUAACCCAAUUCUUAUUCUUAUAAAUCAAGUAAACAACUUAUUAUAUUAUAGUUCCUAUUUCCCAAUUUCAUUUCAACCCAUGCUAUUAUAAGCGUGAGAGUCUGAGAAUCGUAAGUCUCAGUAUUUAGAGACUGAUGUGAUGCCGCGGGGUUUCAAAUCCGUUAUUAUUAUAUUAUUCUACAGUCUACACUCUCCUUCACUUGGCUCUUUCUUAGCAUCAGUUUCUGCGGCUAACAUAAAGAUUGAAUAGAUGUAAUUCCUUUCCUUGUCCCAGCUGUUGCCAUUUUGUUGAGCUACUCCUUACUUGUUAGGAAAUUGAGCUUCCUCCCAAGAUCACUCCAAGCAAUUUGUCAAGCAACAAAUUAAUAGAAAAAUUUAAUGGAGAAUACACCAAUCACACAACACAAGAUUUACGUGGAAAACUCCAAAUCCGGAGAAAAACCACGGCCGUUGUCAAAAAGACAACCAGAGAAAAAUAUUCACUAUAUGGAAAAUUAUUACAACCACACUCUCAUAAAUAAUUUUCUCUCACCUAAGCCCCAAAUACACCCCAAAGAAAUACUCUCUGAAUGAAGAAAAGAAACCGAGGAUUAGAUGCAAAAAACCAAAAAUGGGGAGCUUUCUUUAUAUAGCCAAAAUUGGCUAUUAUUUUAAUAUUUUCUUUAUUCUUCUCGUGGCUUCUUCAAAGCCGUGUUCCAACAUUUUUCUUUCUUCCAUUUUGGCGUUUCAACCAUCAUUUGUCAAGAUCAACUUCUGCAACAUCUUCUUCAUUCUUCCUUGGCGGUCCCUUCAACAUUUGCUGCAUCAACGCUUCUAGAUGUAGCUUCUAGAAGUUGCAGCCAAAAACUUUGACAUUCUUCCACUUGGAGAUUUGAUUGAGAACCAAUCAAUCUUCACACCAAGUUUAUUAUUUUCCUCACCAUAGAGAAUUAUCAUACCCCACCAUAAAAGAGUAUACCACUUAGAAUUAAUUACCAAUUCUAAGAAUUUUACAUCGGCACAUGUCGAAAUAUCCUGCUGAAAUUUAUGGUACAACUUCCAUGUUGGUCUUCCUGGAAGUUUGUCAGCCAUCGACAUAAAUUCCACCACACACCCUGCAUCAAUGCCAACCAUGCCUUGUGUGUAAAUCUUGUGGACCCGCUAGUAGUAACAUAUCCCCUUUCAUGGUACUAGCAGUAUACCAUGAGGAUGUCAUCAUCAUCCAUUUUACAAGGGAUCAUCGUCUCCCACGAUGAUGAGAAACUUACCACUAGCAAUACUAUCAGUAUCUGAUCUAGAGCCACUUGCCGAUCCUGCUCCAUUUCUACUAUGACAAUCUCUUUUUAAGUGCCCCGAUUGUCCACACCCCCAGCAGACUCCUUUCUUCUUAGAUUUAUCUUUCUGCCAAUUCCCUACAACUGCCAAAGCCGAGACAUCUGUAGUUUUAGUACUUUCACCACCCAGUCUCCUUUCUUCUGAGAGUAAAAUACUAGUAACUUCUUCAAGAUCUACUGUCUCCUUCCCGUACAUCAAAGUAGGUAACAAGUAUUUGUAGGAAGUUGGAAGUGACCAUAGUAACCUAAGCGUCUUGUCCUCAUCUUCAAUUUUAACUCCAAUGGCUUCUAGUUCUGACACAAUACCAUUGAGAACACUGAGGUGAUCGGAAAUUUUUGUACCUUCAGCCAUUCGCAGUGUGUGAAAUCGCUCCUUCAGGUACAAUCGAUUUGAGAUGCUCUUUGUCUGAUACAACUUUUCUAGCUUCUCCCAAAGUUCUUUCGCUGUAGGAAUUUUUCCUACAUUUGCAAGAACAUUCUUUGCUAGACACAGUCACAGUCGUAUGGCACUUGCAGCUCUAUCAUCUAAUUCUUCCCAAUCUUCAUCAUUUAUACUAGUUUUUCCAGAGCCACUACUGGAAGCAGGGGAUGGCUUCCCCUUCAAUGCCUUGUGUAACCCAGAUUGAAUCAACACAUCUUUGACUUGAACUUGCCACAAGCCAAAGUUAAUUCUCCCAUCGAAUUUUUCUAUUUCAAAUUUCACCGGACUUGAAAAUUUCAAUCCUGACAUAUUUGCUUUGCAGAUAAGCUUUUACUCUUCACCACAGACUGUUUGGAUUGGCUCCCACUGCUUCACGUGAAUAGUACCGUAUACGUGAACAGUACCGUAUACGUGAACAGUACCGUAUACGUGAACAGUGCCCCGACACCAAAACUUAAAUCAAUGGCUCUGAUACCACUGUUAGGAAAUUGAGCUUCCUCCCAAGAUCACUCCAAGUAAUUUGUCAAGCAACAAAUUAACAGAAAAAUUUAAUGGAGAAUACACCAAUCACACAACACAAGAUUUACGUGGAAAACUCUAAAUCCGGAGAAAAACCACGGCCGUUGUCAAAAAGACAACCAGAGAAAAAUAUUCACUAUGUGAAAAAUUAUUACAACCACACUCUCAGAAAUAAUUUUCUCUCACCUAAGCCUCAAAUACACCCCAAAGAAAUACUCUCUGAAUGAAGAAAAGAAACCGAGGAUUAGAUGCAAAAAACCAAAAAUGGGGAGCUUUCUUUAUAUAGCCAAAAUUGGCUAUUAUUUUAAUAUUUUCUUUAUUCUUCUCGUGGCUUCUUCAAAGCCGUGUUCCAACAUUUUUCUUUCUUCCAUUUUGGCGUUUCAACCAUCAUUUGUCAAGAUCAACUUCUGCAACAUCUUCUUCAUUCUUCCUUGGCGGUCCCUUCAACAUUUGCUGCAUCAACGCUUCUAGAUGUAGCUUCUAGAAGUUGCAGCCAAAAACUUUGACAUUGCUUUCCGCUCCCUAGAACCUCUGCCAAUUUGGUGCACACUAGUCGUUCGAUAGAAUGCGUAAAGGAAGUUUACGAGGGGUUGUUAAUUUUUGUGGAUCAAGUUUUUGCUUUUAAUCGAUUCUCAACUUCG
rnacentral:lncRNA from 1 species